CCUUGGUCACCAUAAGGUGGCUGUUCAACUGAAGGUAGAGCACAUCAGAGACCCCAAAACUCAUUGCUUUUUAAAAUUCAGGAAAUGUAGGGUUGAUAGUGGGACUGUCCCUGUUGGAGGAAGAUAUUUCUUGGGGGUGAGAAGGCUGGAACACUUCCUGAGAGGGCCUGGCUAGUAGGAAUGGGACUGUUCAACUGACCAUGGACCAUAUCUGAGACCCCAAAAGUCUUUGUCUUUUCAGGUUCUUGAAGGACUUAGAUUUAGAGUUGGGCAGUUCCUGUUACAGGGGAAAGAUUUUGGGGGGAGAGAGGGCUUGAAGACUUCCUGGGAGGGCCUGGUGGCAGGAAAGGGGCUGGUCAACUGACAGUGGAGGACAUUGAAGACCCCUGAACUCACUGUCUUCCAAGCUUCAAGAAAUGUAGGGCUAAGAGAGUUGCUGUUCCUGUUGGGGGGAAGAAGAGUUAAAGCCUUCCUGGAAGGGCCUGGGUACAGGGAAGGGCAACAAGGUGGAGCACAUCGGAGACCCCUAAACUCAUUGUCUUCCAAGCUUCAGGAAAGGUUCUUGAAGGACUUAGAUUUAGAGUGGGGCUGUUCCUGUUGGGGGGGAGAGAUUUUGGGGGAGAAAAGGCUUGAAGACUUCCUGGGAGGACCUGGUAGCAGGAAAGGGGCUGGUCAACUGACGGCGGAGGACAUCGAAGACCCCUAAAAUCAUUGUCUUCCAAGAUUCAAGAAAUACAGGGUUAAGAGUGUUGCUGUUCCUGUUGGGAGGAGAGAAUUGGGGGCUCAAUUUUCAGAUGAGGAAACUGAG
rnacentral:lncRNA from 1 species